GAGAGGGACCAGCUGCUGCCAAACCUGAGGGCCGUGGGGUGGAAUGAGCUGGAAGGCCGUGAUGCCAUCUUCAAGCAGUUUCAUUUCAAAGACUUCAACAGGGCCUUUGGGUUCAUGACAAGAGUGGCCCUGCAGGCUGAGAAACUGGACCACCAUCCUGAAUGGUUUAACGUGUACAACAAGGUCUCAAGGCUGCAAGCCUCCGGUCUGCAACAAUACCAUCUGCUUUCCUGGUUCUCCAGCUUGCCAACUACAGAUCUUGGGACUUGUCAGCCUCCAUAAUCACAUGAGCCAGUUCCUUAUAAGAAAUCUCUGUGUGUGUAUUGAUUCUGUUUCUCUGGAGAAUCCUAAUACACAGGCCUAUCAUAUCAGAUAUGGGAGAUCCCAAA
rnacentral:sRNA from 1 species